rnacentral:rRNA from 1 species
AACGAACGCUGGCGGCAUGCCUAACACAUGCAAGUCGAACGAGACCUUCGGGUCUAGUGGCGCACGGGUGCGUAACGCGUGGGAACCUGCCCUUAGGUUCGGAAUAACUCCCCGAAAGGGGUGCUAAUACCGGAUAAUGUCUUCGGACCAAAGAUUUAUCGCCUUUGGAUGGGCCCGCGUUGGAUUAGCUAGUUGGUAGGGUAAAAGCCUACCAAGGCGACGAUCCAUAGCUGGUCUGAGAGGAUGAUCAGCCACACUGGGACUGAGACACGGCCCAGACUCCUACGGGAGGCAGCAGUGGGGAAUAUUGGACAAUGGGCAAAAGCCUGAUCCAGCAAUGCCGCGUGAGUGAUGAGGGCCUUAGGGUUGUAAAGCUCUUUUACCCGGGAUGAUAAUGACAGUACCGGGAGAAUAAGCUCCGGCUAACUCCGU